CAACGUGACCUUCGCAUGUACAUGCACAAG
rnacentral:SRP_RNA from 1 species